rnacentral:rRNA from 1 species
GACGAACGCUGGCGGCGUGCCUAACACAUGCAAGUCGAGCGGGUUAAUUGAAAGCUUGCUUUUGGUUAACUUAGCGGCGGACGGGUGAGUAACGCGUGGGCAACCUGCCUAUCACAGGGGGAUAACACAGGGAAACUUGUGCUAAUACCGCAUAAUACAGCGAGAAAGCAUUUUCUUGUUGUCAAAGGAGCAAUCCGGUGACAGAUGGGCCCGCGUCCAAUUAGCUAGUUGGUGAUGUAACGGACCACCAAGGCGACGAUUGGUAGCCGAACUGAGAGGUUGAUCGGCCACAUUGGGACUGAGACACGGCCCAGACUCCUACGGGAGGCAGCAGUGGGGAAUAUUGCACAAUGGGGGAAACCCUGAUGCAGCAACGCCGCGUGAAGGAUGAAGGUUUUCGGACUGUAGACUUCUUUAGUCAGGGACGAAUAAAUGACGGUACCUGAAGAAUAAGCCACGGCUAACUACGUGCCAGCCGCCGCCGUAA